rnacentral:rRNA from 1 species
UAAUUAAUCCGUAAAUUUAAUUGUUAUUCUAAAGGGGUACAGCUCUUUAGACUCAGGAUACAACCUUCAUUAGAGAGUAAAUUACAUGAACAACCAUAGUUGGCCUAAAAGCAGCCACCAAUUAAGAAAGCGUUCAAGCUCAACAAAAUAUUCUUAAUCUUAAUUUAACAAUCGUUCAUAAACUCCUAACCCACAACUGGACUAAUCUAUUUAUCAAUAGAAGAAAUACUGUUAAUAUGAGUAACAAGAUCAAUAUCUCCUAGCACAAGUUUAUGUCAGAUCGGAUAACAACUGAUAGUUAACAGCCAAAUAAAUAUAAAUUUACAUAAACCAUUUAUUUUUACACUGUUAAUCCAACACAGGUGUGCACCAACAAGGAAAGAUUAAAAGAAGUAAAAGGAACUCGGCAAACACAAACCCCGCCUGUUUACCAAAAACAUCACCUCUAGCAUUUCUAGUAUUAGAGGCACUGCCUGCCCAGUGACAAUCGUUAAACGGCCGCGGUAUCCUGACCGUGCAAAGGUAGCAUAAUCAUUUGUUCCUUAAAUAGGGACUUGUAUGAAUGGCCACACGAGGGUUUAACUGUCUCUUACUUCCAAUCAGUGAAAUUGACCUUUCCGUGAAGAGGCGGAAAUAUACAAAUAAGACGAGAAGACCCUAUGGAGCUUUAAUUCACUUAACCCAAUAGAGUUACAAUUCAAUCCAUCAAGGGCUAACAAUUACUCUUACUGGGUUAAAAAUUUCGGUUGGGGUGACCUCGGAGUAUAAAAUAACCUCCGAGAAACAUUUACUAAGACUAACAAGUCGAAGUAUAAUCUCACAAAUUGAUCCAGUCAUACUGAUCAACGGAACAAGUUACCCUAGGGAUAACAGCGCAAUCCUAUUCUAGAGUCCCUAUCGACAAUAGGGUUUACGACCUCGAUGUUGGAUCAGGACAUCCCAAUGGUGCAGCAGCUAUUAACGGUUCGUUU